rnacentral:lncRNA from 1 species
UUUUUAUUCAAGUUUGUAACAGAUGAGUAUUUGAAAAAGUUGUUAGUAAAUAAUAUGUGAGACGUAAACUUAUGAAUGGGAUAGGCAGGGCAAAUAGUCUUAAUUCAUAAAAUAAUUCCGGUUAUCUUUUUGAUGCCAAACGUGUACCGUUGCGUAAUUGAGGCGAAUUCAAAUUGCGUAGGAGAAUAAUAAGGCACCAAUCGUGAUGGUAUUCGCAGUAUCUAUUGGUUUAAAAGACAUCAGAUCGCCCGGUGAUAACUGUUGUAUCUGGAAGUUAAUUUUGUCGAGAUCAACUAUUUCGUUUUCCAAAAUUGCCCGAUUGCUGAGGCAGUUAUGAUUCAAGUAAUUAUUCUGUAUAUCCUGAAAAAUACUCUAAAUCCAUUCAUUUUUUCCCGAAAAUAAGUGCAAAAAUUGUCUGGCAGUUUAAUGUAUCGCGUGAUUGUUCGGAAAAAAUUUAUGCUAUAAAUCAUUUUGUAAUCGUACGAUUUUAUUUAUGGUCACUCGAAGGAUUUCAACACAAAUGCAUUCGUAUUAAUCCCAUCCCCGAAAGUAGACCGGUCUGUUGGAAAUCACCAAAUCACAAAAGUAAGAGAGCACCGCCGAAAAGUUUAUUAUAUAUCGUUGACUCUGCAAUGCAGCUGUACAUUAGAGCUUAACUGUGUGCUGACAUUAACAGUCGUGUAGGGAUCAGCAAAGAAUGGAA